AUGGAGCGGAGAACCACAAAUCCUGAUACCGGGGGUAAGACUUUGAAAACAAGAACGACAGAGAUAACCGAUAAACAACAAGAGAGGCCGGAGGAGAGUUCAAAAGAAUCAAAGGGAAAGGGAUCCCUUUUACUGCGAAACACCUGCUUUACAAAAGGGAAAAUCAAACUGAUGAAAAGCAAAAAAGCCAUUUCAUGGGGGGCGACGGCUGUUUCCAGGACCAAAACUAAACUGAGGAAGGGAGAGACUGCAUUUGUGGUGGGUACAACUACAAUCACUCACGGGGAGACCACUAGUUCUUUGAGCAAGGCCACUUUGAGUCAAGGAGAGAAAUCUGUGACUGUGGUUAAAACGUCUGUCAAAAGAGGAAAGGACACUCAAUGGAAUCUCUACUGGGAUUUUCACCUGUGAAAAACGAAACCAUAAACAGUAAAUGUACUGUAUACUGUAUGUACGUGCACAGAGAUUGACCUUGUUGUAGAUCGUUCAAGCAGAUCCAAAUACCAUACACAAAGCAAAAGCUGUUGGUCCUACUAAUACGAAGACUGAGUCAAAAGCUCAUCCCUGAAUUACCGAAUCAUUGGACAUCACACCAUUACAUUGUCUGAAGGACUUUCUAAAAGAAAUGGGAAAAGCCAAGAAUAGGGGACAUCAACAAGAGCCUUUUUUGACCGCUGGAACUCUUUACACUUCAUUAUUUGCCAAACCCUUUACACCUGCCAUCUGCAAGAUUAUGUUAUAGAUCAACAUUACUGUAUCUCUUUGUUUGAUGUACUGUACUCUUUACCUGAAGAUGAAAAACAAUGUUAUUCUUACACAUUUGGUAGACACAUUUCAGUAUGUUUAACCCAUGACCUUGGCAAUACAACCAUCACUCUUUACUAGUUGAUCUACAGUGUUGAAAGCAUUCAUAGUUUCAAAAAAACCAAAAGACUAAGUAAUAUAUGCAUAUGCCCUUAUAAUGAAACUGACAUUUGUUUAGUCUGGGUUUAUUUGUGUAAACUGUGUGACUGUCUAGUUUUAUUAUGUUUGUCAGUUAUCCAGAUCAUAUGUGUGUAACUAUUGUAAAAGAGGAAACAUAGCGAUAUCAUUAAUGCUUUCUAUCGUAGUACAGAAUGAAUUCAUCUUUAAGAGAUGUGGGUGGGGGUUAUUGGUUGUGUGCUUACAUUGUGAAACUAACUAUGUUUCUGUUGGUCAAAACCCUUCUCCGCAAUGUCAACAGCUCUCGCUUUUAUUGAUAAUAUAUGUUGAAAACUCAAGGGAAUUGUGGGCUGCAUGCGCUAUGAAGAUUACACUUUCUUAUAGUCACUAUAAGUGAAAAUUUAUUCGAUCACUAAAGGCAAACCGCAACAGCAGCAUUCCCAAUGUAAUAGGACAUGUCAACUGGGAAAGUGGAACAAUGUGAGCCGAGAGAUAUGACAAUGAGGAUGAGGGUUUGGUGAUUGAGAGUGAAGGAAAUAUAAUAUAACGGUCUCCUGAUCUCAACAUAACAGUGAACUAUAGCUGAUAGAGACACUGAAUUUUAGAUGAUCCAAUUUAAUGACAUAUUGUUUGGAAUUUCUUUGCUAGCAUCCAUUAUGUAACAUUCUUUAUUUUAUCUUGUCAAGUGUCCUGUGUAUCUUGUCUUUAAAUGUUUCACAGCUCUGUCAGGGCUGAACGGGGGAUGUGGGUAGAAGAUAAAAGCCUUUGCCCCUUUGCGACAAAAGUGUCUUUGUGUCUAUAAUAAUCUGUAAGGCUAAAGUCAAUUUUUGUCAUUCUUUCACGUUUUUUCCACAGUGCAUUAGCAUAGUAUGUGUUGCAUGCAUUUAACAAUUUCUGCAUUAUGCCAUAGAUGGUAGAACUUUGGAAAGUUUGGUUCUGGCCAUGGUGCUGUACGCCUAAUAAAUAUGUGCUGACAUUAAAA